rnacentral:rRNA from 1 species
GACGAACGCUGGCGGCGCGCCUAACACAUGCAAGUCGAACGGAGCUUGAAGAGCUUGCUUUUUAAGCUUAGUGGCGAACGGGUGAGUAACGCGUGAGUAACCUGCCCUGGAGUGGGGGACAACAGUUGGAAACGACUGCUAAUACCGCAUAAGCCCACGGCCCGGCAUCGGGCUGCGGGAAAAGGAUUUAUUCGCUUCAGGAUGGACUCGCGUCCAAUUAGCUAGUUGGUGAGGUAACGGCCCACCAAGGCGACGAUUGGUAGCCGGACUGAGAGGUUGAACGGCCACAUUGGGACUGAGACACGGCCCAGACUCCUACGGGAGGCAGCAGUGGGGGAUAUUGCACAAUGGGGGAAACCCUGAUGCAGCGACGCCGCGUGGAGGAAGAAGGUUUUCGGAUUGUAAACUCCUGUCGUUAGGGACGAUAAUGACGGUACCUAACAAGAAAGCACCGGCUAACUACGUGCCAGCAGCCGCGGUAAAACGUAGGGUGCAAGCGUUGUCCGGAAUUACUGGGUGUAAAGGGAGCGCAGGCGGACCGGCAAGUUGGAAGUGAAAACUAUGGGCUCAACCCAUAAAUUGCUUUCAAAACUGCUGGCCUUGAGUAGUGCAGAGGUAGGUGGAAUUCCCGGUGUAGCGGUGGAAUGCGUAGAUAUCGGGAGGAACACCAGUGGCGAAGGCGACCUACUGGGCACCAACUGACGCUGAGGCUCGAAAGCAUGGGUAGCAAACAGGAUUAGAUACCCUGGUAGUCCAUGCCGUAAACC